rnacentral:rRNA from 1 species
GACAGAGGGUGCAAACGUUGUUCGGAAUUACUGGGCGUAAAGCGUGUGUAGGCGGCUAGGUAAGUCGGAUGUGAAAGCCCCGGGCUCAACUCGGGAAGUGCACUCGAUACUGCUUAGCUCGAGUACCGGAGAGGUUGGUGGAAUUCCCGGUGUAGUGGUGGAAUGCGUAGAUAUCGGGAGGAACACCAGUGGCGAAGGCGGUUGCCUGGGGCUUUGCUGACGCUGAUGCGCGAAAGCCAGGGGAGCAAACGGG